rnacentral:rRNA from 1 species
GAUGAACGCUGGCGGCGUGCCUAAUACAUGCAAGUCGAGCGAACGGACGAGAAGCUUGCUUUUCUGAUGUUAGCGGCGGACGGGUGAGUAACACGUGGAUAACCUACCUAUAAGACUGGGAUAACUUCGGGAAACCGGAGCUAAUACCGGAUAAUAUUUUGAACCGCAUGGUUCAUAAGUGAAAGACGGUCUUGCUGUCACUUAUAGAUGGAUCCGCGCUGCAUUAGCUAGUUGGUAAGGUAACGGCUUACCAAGGCAACGAUGCAUAGCCGACCUGAGAGGGUGAUCGGCCACACUGGAACGGAGACACGGUCCAGACUCCUACGGGAGGCAGCAGUAGGGAAUCUUCCGCAAUGGGCGAAAGCCUGACGGAGCAACGCCGCGUGAGUGAUGAAGGUCUCGGAUCGUAAAACUCUGUUAUUAGGGAAGAACAUAUGUGUAAGUAACUGUGCACAUCUUGACGGUACCUAAUCAGAAAGCCACGGCUAACUACGUG